GCGGGAAUAGCUCAGUUGGCUAGAGCGUCUGCUUGCCAUGCAGAAGGUCGCGAGUUCGAGUCUCGUUUCCCGCUCCA
rnacentral:tRNA from 2 species